GACGAACGCUGGCGGCGUGCUUAACACAUGCAAGUCGAACGGAAAGGCCUGCUUUCCCUUGUGGAUUGCGGGUACUCGAGUGGCGAACGGGUGAGUAACACGUGAGUGAUCUGCCCCCAACUUGGGUAUAAGCCUGGGAAACUGGGUCUAAUUCCCGAUAGGACUGCAGGGUGGUGCCUGUGGUGGAAAACGAUUUUCUAGUGGUUGGGGAUGAGCUCGCGGCCUAUCAGCUUGUUGGUGGGGUAAUGGCCUACCAAGGCGGCGACGGGUAGCCGGCCUGAGAGGGUGGACGGUGACAUUGGGACUGAGAUACGGCCCAGACUCCUACGGGAGGCAGCAGUGGGGGAUAUAGGACAAUGGGCGGAAGCCUGAUGCAGCGACGCCGCGUGGGGGAUGACGGCCUUCGGGUUGUAAACUCCUUUCGACCGCGAGGAAGCCACCUGGUUGGAAGGGUGGUGACGGUAGUGGUAGAAGAAGCACCGGCUAACUACGUG
rnacentral:rRNA from 1 species